GGUAAUUUUGGAGUGUUCGAAGCCGUGUGAUAGCAAAAUGUUUGAUCGCUUAUUAUGUGCGAGCUCCACCAUUACACGUGGCAACAAAAAUUAUUUGCUCUCCCUACCUAUCGAGGAUAGCCUUGCCAAGUCUUGGCAAACAAGGCUAGUGGGCAAGCUUGGGAAAGACAACCAAGCAGACCCAAAGUUUCAUCCAUGGUUUCAUUUUUAUUUGUUGAUGUGACACUAUUGGAAAAAUGAAAUAAUGCAAUGAGAUUGGCAAGAUUGAUAGUACAUCAUCGGCACAAUGUUCAGAAAUAUAAGGCAACAUAACCAAAGUGACACUUGCAGAAUACAUCAUCGGGAAAAUGUUCAGAAACAUAAGGCAAUCCUAUGAUACUUUCACUCUAAGUAUCAUUAGCUACCAAAAUAUAAGAUCACCAUCCCACCUCUGAACUAUCUACUUAAUUAGCCUUGCCACCAAGCAUCAAUCCCAUGACAACAACAAAUAAAGCAAGCAGCACGUGCGUGAGUUUGACAUUGUCCUAUAAUUCCCAAUUGACUUCAGCUCGGUAGUGGCCUUCUGAAGUUGUUGCCGCACCAUCUUAAGCUCAUUCCUAAUCUCUCUAAGCUCACAGUUAGCUUUUCCCAAUUCUUCCUCCCAC
rnacentral:lncRNA from 1 species